rnacentral:lncRNA from 1 species
ACUCAUAUGGGUAGUUAAUGGUUGUUGAUUUUCGUUGUUUUUCUAAAUUCUUUUGAUGACUUUUUCGCUGAUUUCGUGUUCUUUUAUGUUACUAUAGUUAUAUGUUUGAUUUUCGUUAAUGGAACUGUGAUGUUUAUAUGUGAAUUUUUAUACAUCAUGCUCGUACGUUAAUAUAGUUGUUUUGAUAGUAUUAUAUACGAUCGGUAAAAGCUUUAAAUGUUAUCGUUUCAUGUUUCUGAUCUUGAUAUAUGAGAUGCAUGAUAUUUGUGAAAGCAUGUUUCUGUUUUCUAUUUUUUUUCUUUUAUAUGUCAAUCUGCCAAAAUCGGUUUACACAUUUAAUAUUGAUUUAUGAAAUAUGUUAUGAGAGAGUUUUAAAGAUCCUUAAAACAUGUUAAUUAUUCUCGCUUUCGGUGACAUUACUUUGUGCAUUAUGGUUUCAUAUGAUUUUAUUAUAUUUAGAAUAGUGAUAAAGACCUUUAAAACAUAUAACUGGUUUUACUUUGAAAAUGUUUCUAACGGUGAUAUCAUAACUUGGAUUUAGAAAAUGGAUGCUCUUAAUCAUAUGUUAUUUGACAAGCUUUUAG